rnacentral:rRNA from 1 species
CCUGACUGCUAUCGGAUUGAUACUAAGCCAUGCGAGUCAUUGUAGCAAUACAAGGCAGACGGCUCAGUAACGCGUAGUCAAUCUACCCUAUGGACGGGAAUAACCUCGGGAAACUGAGAAUAAUGCCCGAUAGAACAUUAUACCUGGAACGGUUUAUGUUUCAAAUGAUUUAUCGCCGUAGGAUGGGACUGCGGCCUAUCAGUUUGUUGGUGAGGUAAUGGCCCACCAAGACUAUUACAGGUACGGGCUCUGAGAGGAGUAGCCCGGAGAUGGGUACUGAGACACGGACCCAGGCCCUAUGGGGCGCAGCAGGCGAGAAAACUUUGCAGUGUGCGAAAGCACGACAAGGUUAAUCCGAGUGGUUUCUGCUAAAGAAACCUUUUGCUAGUCCUAGAAACACUAGUGAAUAAGGGGUGGGCAAGUUCUGGUGU